AUGAAAGCGACGACACCUCGCGGCGGCGGCGUGGAGACUGCGAAGCCGAAGAAGAGGAAGAAGGCGGGCGCGGGUGGGUUCAUCUUUGGCUGCGGCGGCUCCAGGUCUGUGGCCGUCGUCGCAGACAAUCUCUCCACGAUGGCACUGGCCAAGUCGUCGUCGUCGUCGAGCGCCGGACCAACGGCGGAACCAGCGCCCGCAGCGAAGCCCAAGGCGCCGGCCUACCACGACGCCGAGGGCGCGCCGAGCGUGGACGCGCUCCUGGGCCAGCUCCGCGAGCUGGAGCGCGGCGUGCGCGCGCUGGGCGUCCGGGCCCGGGAGGAGGACGGCGUCGCGCAGGCGUGCCGUUGCAGCGCGAGGCCGCCGCGGCACCGGCAAGGUGGGCGCGGUCGGCUGGAGGAGGAGAGCGUGGCGGUGGUGACGGAGACGGAGGACCCGCUGGGCGAGUUCCGGCGGUCCAUGGCGGAGAUGGUGGUGGAGAACGGGAUCACGGGCGGCGCGGAGCUGCGGGAGCUGCUGCAGCGGUUCCUGUCGCUCAACGCGGCGCGCCACCACCACCUCAUCCUCCGCGCCUUCGCGGACGUCUGGGAGGAGCUCUUCGCCGGCGACCCCACGAAGAAGCUGAAGCAGAAGCGUCCUGCUGUCUCCCCUGCAGGCCAUGGCGCCCGGGCGAGCAGCUAG
rnacentral:rRNA from 1 species